rnacentral:rRNA from 1 species
CAGAGGUCUCAAGCGUUGUUCGGAUUCAUUGGGCGUAAAGGGUGCGUAGGCGGCGCGGUAAGUCGGGUGUGAAAUCUCGGAGCUUAACUCCGAAACUGCAUUCGAUACUGCCGUGCUUGAGGACUGGAGAGGAGACUGGAAUUUACGGUGUAGCGGUGAAAUGCGUAGAUAUCGUAAGGAAGACCAGUGGCGAAGGCGGGUCUCUGGACAGUUCCCGACGCUGAGGCACGAAGGCCAGGGGGAGCAAACGGGAUUAGAUACCCCGGUAGUCCUGGCAGUAAACGGUGCACGUUUGGUGUGGGAGGAUUCGACCCCUUCUGCGCCGGAGCUAACGCGUUAAACGUGCCGCCCGGGGAGUACGGUCGCAAGAUUA